rnacentral:rRNA from 1 species
GACGAACGCUGGCGGCGUGCUUAACACAUGCAAGUCGAACGGUGAAAGGGAGCUUGCUCCCUGGAUCAGUGGCGAACGGGUGAGUAACACGUGGGCAACCUGCCCCAGACUUCGGGAUAACGCUUCGAAAGGAGUGCUAAUACCGGAUACGAACUCCUUGGGCAUCCUUGGGGUUGGAAAGUUUUUCGGUCUGGGAUGGGCCCGCGGCCUAUCAGCUUGUUGGUGAGGUAACGGCUCACCAAGGCGACGACGGGUAGCCGGCCUGGGAGGGCGACCGGGCCCACUGGGACUGGGAAACGGCCCAUACUCCUACGGGAGGCAGCAGUGGGGAAUAUUGCGCAAUGGGCGAAAGCCUGACGCAGCAACGCCGCGUGAGGGAUGACGGCCUUCGGGUUGUAAACCUCUUUCAGCAGGGAAGAAGCGAAAGUGACGGUACCUGCAGAAGAAGCCCCGGCUAACUACGUGCCAGCCGCCGCCGUAA